UACAGAGGUCCCAAGCGUUGUCCGGAAUUAUUGGGCGUAAAGAGCUUGUAGGUGGUUUGUCGCGUCUGCUGUGAAAAUCCGAGGCUCAACCUCGGACUUGCAGUGGGUACGGGCAGACUAGAGUGUGGUAGGGGAGACUGGAAUUCCUGGUGUAGCGGUGGAAUGCGCAGAUAUCAGGAGGAACACCGGUGGCGAAGGCGGAUCUCUGGGCCUUACCUGACGCUCAGGUGCGAAAGCUAGGGGAGCGAACAGG
rnacentral:rRNA from 1 species